rnacentral:rRNA from 1 species
GGGCCCGCACAAGCGGUGGAGCAUGUGGUUUAAUUCGACGCAACGCGCAGAACCUUACCCAGACUUGACAUCCAUCAAAGGUGGCCCAAAAGCUGCUGUGCCCGCAAGGGAAUGGUGAGACAGGUGCUGCAUGGCUGUCGUCAGCUCGUGUCGUGAGAUGUUGGGUUAAGUCCCGCAACGAGCGCAACCCUCGCCUUUAGUUGCUCCGCAAGGAGAUCUCUAGAGGGACCGCCAGUGAUAAGCUGGAGGAAGGUGGGGAUGACGUCAAGUCCUCAUGGCCUUUAUGUCUGGGGCUACACACGUGCUACAAUGGCGAGUACAAAGCGUUGCCAACCCGCGAGGGGGAGCUAAUCGCAUAAAACUCGUCUCAGUUCGGAUUGGAGUCUGCAACUCGGCUCCAUGAAGGAGGAAUCGCUAGUAAUCGCAGAUCAGCACGCUGCGGUGAAUACGUUCCCGGGCCUU